CCGUGAUUGCCAUCAUAGUAUCAUCGAAACUCUUUUCGAUGGACUAAAAUGAUUCCAACUCACCUCAAUAAGGAUCGUUGAUUCGAAAAUGAUCUUAGUGAGUUCUCAUGAUUUAUCAGUGAUACCUAACAGUAUGUAGUGGCAACCUAGCAGAAUAAAAAAAAUAAAUUCUUAGGUACAGUUAUCAUGUAAUACAAUCCCUCUAUCGUGAGUUCUGACUUAACGGAGGUCAUGGAGAACUCAUCAAACCCCAUCGUCAGUCAUAUGCUAGAUUGACUCGACUCGAGUUCAUCUGUGAAUCCAGUGAAAACUCUUUUUCAAUAUUCACACUUACUCUGAUCAGAAAUUUUCUAAACUCAGACUUACGAAUCGUAUAGGACUUCUUCUUUUCUAUCAAGAUCGAUAGAUUCAAUCUAGAUGCAUCCUACUCGAGAUAGCGAACCUAAACUUAUAAUAGCCAACAUACAUAGCAAGAACUUGAAUGGCUAGGGAUCAAGAAAAUGUGCAGUCAAACUAAGUAGCCUCACUGCGAAUAGCUAAUACACCGUAGGUCAAAAGACCAGUCACACUACUGCAGCAUCGAGAAAACCACUGACGAAUGAGUAGAUAUCCAAGUGGUUUCUCAUGAUGGUCACGCUCAGUGCAAGUUGUUCUCUAACAACUACCUGCACUCUCAUCUUAGUAUCUCUAUAUCGC
rnacentral:lncRNA from 1 species